UUCCUCAUCUCGUAGCACA
rnacentral:snRNA from 1 species